AGUGUAUCAAUAUAACGUAAUGAAGUAUAAUGUGCAGCCCCAUACGUCGCAAACAGUACAUACUCGCUUAGAGCUUCCUCAGUUAGCCCAAAAGCUGUUCCACGCGGACGAAGUCGCGGGCAGAAGCUAGUAACGAAUAAAGUUACAUUUCAUAACCUUAUUUAUUUUAACACACAUUUCUUACAAAUAAACAUGUACUCUUUGCUC
rnacentral:misc_RNA from 1 species